AACGAACGCUGGCGGCAGGCUUAACACAUGCAAGUCGAACGCCCCGCAAGGGGAGUGGCAGACGGGUGAGUAACGCGUGGGAAUCUACCCAGUUCUACGGAACAACUGAGGGAAACUUCAGCUAAUACCGUAUACGCCCUACGGGGGAAAGAUUUAUCGGAAUUGGAUGAGCCCGCGUUGGAUUAGCUAGUUGGUGAGGUAACGGCUCACCAAGGCGACGAUCCAUAGCUGGUCUGAGAGGAUGAUCAGCCACACUGGGACUGAGACACGGCCCAGACUCCUACGGGAGGCAGCAGUGGGGAAUAUUGGACAAUGGGCGCAAGCCUGAUCCAGCCAUGCCGCGUGAGUGAUGAAGGCCUUAGGGUUGUAAAGCUCUUUCAGUGGGGACGAUAAUGACGGUACCCACAGAAGAAGCCCCGGCUAACUUCGUGCCAGCAGCCGCAGUAAGAC
rnacentral:rRNA from 1 species